GAGAGCUUGGUGAGGUUGGAGAGGGCGGCAAUGCGAGUGUCCAAGGAGGAGAGGCGGUUGGCGGUGAGGUCUAGCUCGGUGAGACUCGGCGGUAGCUCGACCGAGUUGAGGUCGUGGAGUUGGCAGCUGGUGAGAUCGAGGACGGUGGCGGAUGAGUCGCCGUCGUCCUCGGUCAUCGGAUCGUCGUGAUUCGGUGGUGGCGGUUUGGCCUCGUCGUCCAUGGCGAAAUGGUUCCAAGGUUGCGUUUCUGAGGCCUUUUUCUCUUUUAUAGUGCCGGGUUGACCCAAACCCGAUCGGGUCAGGGGUGGUUCGGGUUAUUGGGUUAUAUUCUCUGCUACUACAAAACCAGACCCUAAAAGCUUCAUUAAAUUAUGAAUUUCUAUAAUUACUCUUAAUAAAUUAAUUAACAUAAAUAAAAAAUAAGGGUUGUUAUAGUAAAAAUAAAAUAAAAUAAAAACAACUUAAAUAAAUAAAUAAUCAUAAAAAGUACUGAUUAGUAAGACGAAUAUCUGUAUAAUACGGUAAACUUAAUUAACCGUUCACGUUUAUUUAAUUGAUCGUGUAUGCACGGGUAAAAGAUUAGUAUGAAAAAAAUACUGAGGAUUUGAAGCCAUGAAUAGCACCACCCAAAUUUUAUUGUAUUCAAUCUUUUCAACUUAUUCGAAUACUAUGUUAUACGUCAACCGCCUAAUUGCUUUGCUAUAGCUGCAGUAAUAGACGCGACAUCUGCCACAGCAUUAUUUACAUCUGUUAGAGGAGACCUCCCUGAAAAACUUAACUCGCAUGCCCUUGCCUCGUCAGCAGCUUCACUCAUGUCUUCUUCAGCAAUAUGAGGGAUAUCUCUACUAAAUGCCAAGGAAGCAUUUGGGACCUGAUGGUUUGAAAUCGCAUCAUAGUCACCUGAACAAACUUUCAAGCGUAGAUCUCCUGGGCUCUGCUUAAGUAAUCCACUUACUUUGUUUUGACCGAUAAUUGCUUUGGCCUUAACCACAUCCACCAUUAUUAUGCCCAAGCCUUUGACAUCGGCACCAGAACUUCGAGGAUCUGAUUUGAGAGAUGAGACACAGAGAUUCGGGUUUGGUGUUUUUCGACAUGUUUCGUCAAUGAGUUUAGCAUCCAUUGGCCAAAAAUCUAUGCUACAUUGACCCAUUCAAUCUUGUAUGAACGUUGACAAUUAUGACAAUAAUUAUGAGAAUAAAUAUGGUUGGAUGUGUUUUAAUAUUCUUUCUCUUUAUAAAGCUGAUUUAAUCUUGUAUGAACGGUAUUUAUAUCACAACAAUUAUGACAGUAAAUAUGGAUAGAUUUGUUUUCCUAAAUAUCCUUUGAAUUUGAAAAUAAUCAAUAUCUUUACAAAAGAAAAAGGAAAAAAUAAUCAAUGCAUGUGUCUUAAUGAAUGAAUAUAAUCAAAUCAAAUCAAAUUUUCCUUUGAUGCACUUGCCCACGUUGAUUGUCCGGUAUCAUUUAAUACAAUCGUGUUCAUCAGGUCACUAACGUUGUGCUUAGAUGAUUCUUUUUAAACUUCUUGAGAAAUUUUGAAAUGAUGGAAUUUAGAACUCUAACAAUCAAAAUUUCAUUAAUUGUUAUUUUCAUGGUUUAAUUUUUACUUUUUAUUAAAUAACUCACAUACCCUACAUGCAUUAGUGAUGUUCGACCACCUUUCAAAGCCAUUGGGAUCACAUUUCCAGCCUAAUCUUUCAUUCUUGGUCCCACCGCUAGGGCCGGUCCUAUGCUUUGAAGGGUCUGGUGCGAAAAAAUUUGGUCCCUUUGUUCAUGUAAAAAAAUUAUAUAGAAAAACAAAACAGAAGAAAAAACUAAAAAUAGGAAAUGAUACCGAAUGUUUUUUUUGAUAGCAAAGAUACCGAAUAAGGGCAAAAAUCCCACCAAGUAGGGUACCUCGGGUCAUCGGGCCUAAUUUCAAACUAGAAGUGGCCUAAAAUUGUUGUGGUUUUAGCUUACAGACAAAUAAGAUCUUAGAUCGAUGAGAUGGUUGAUAUGUACUUGAAGCAUGCACCAUAAUUGAGCGCUCAGGCGAUAGUAUGUCUACUAGCUCUAGUAUUUGCAUUAUUUCUAAUAUUUUAUUCUCUAUUUAGGCUCACAAAAUAAGUGAGCGGGAAUUUUCAAGUGUAAUAGUACUUUGCCAUUCAGACAUGCAUUUCAAUAUAUCGAUGAUUUAUUUCAAAAAAAAAAAGGGGGAAAAAUGAGAGAAAAACAAUACACGACAAAAAAAGAGCAGAAAAUGAUCUGAGUGGGGAAAUCGAACAAUACGUAUAUACUGAUGACUUCAAAUAUAUAAUAAUGUUUACAGUAGACAGAAAAAAGAAAAUGCCGGACCGCCCAGUGCUAGCUCUGCCCACCGCAACCAUCUUUCUGAGUUUAGCUUGGCGGAUGACUAGGGGAGGAUAUGGUCAGUAGGCUAUAUGAAAUUAAGCCUAAGAGAUUUUUGGGUUAAAAACCCUCAAGUUGAGCUGGGCUCGGAUCGGGUUUUCGGGAUUUCAGACCCUAACACCCAGCCUUAAGUAGAGGUAUAUAUAUUACAACCAAUUAACCAUACCAGAAAAAAGAAAAUGUUAGUUAGUUAUUAGACUCUCAUAGCACCACACAAAUGUUCUCCACUUCUUCUCUUCGCACAUUAUGGUCUUGAAAUAUCUCCUAGCCUCUUGAAAUAUCUCCAAGCCUCUCAUAAUCCUAUGUUUAAUAUUAUUUUGACGAACAAAUUACAAGUAUAGGUAGCAUUAUAUCUCAGUUGCAUACAUAAUCAUACGUCUAUCUGUGAGCAUUUUGUUUUUGUAUUCAUUAUCUUUGUUAGCUAUUGGAUUUAUUCUUAACUUAUUGUUCUGGAAUUAUAACAGUCUAAUUUGUUCAUCAAGCUCGAGCUCUCUCGUUGUUACGUACGUACACGUGUAAAGAAUAAUUUAAAACAAAUUAGUUGAACAUUAUUGCAAUAACUUCCAUAUGUAGUAGACCUAGAAAAGAAAAAGGAAUUGCAAAUGUAAACUAGCUAAUAAUUCUAAUAUUUUGGUAAUUUAACAUACUCACAAAUUCUAAUGUUAGGUAUAUGAAAAAAGAGAUGUAUGUGUAUCUAGUAUUUUGCAAUGUGUGAAUAAAAUUUCUCUUAAUAUGAGUGCGGCUAUUAGGACCUCCAAAUUUGCUCAGUAUACCUCUUAUGCUCUUUACACCUCCUUUUUAAUUUUAACUACAAGCAUUUGCUCACUAGACCUCCUUUCAAAUUCUUAAAAUAACGUUAGGUAUGUUAUUCACAUAUAUCUUAAUAAUUUACUCAUUAUACCUCUUAUUUAUUCUCUAGACCUCUCAUUUCUUUUUAAUUUUUUUGUUUUUACUAUGCUAUCAUCGAGACCUCUAUUCCUUGUAUUUUUUUUUUCGUUCAAACCUUUUUCAUGAUCUCAAUUCCUUGAUUUUUUUAUUUCCCAUAGAAUGUCACCAAACAGGGCGGUUGGCGGUGUGGUCUAGCUCGGUGAGACUCAGCGGUAACUUGAUCGAGUUGAGGUCGUGGAGUUGGCAGCUGGGGAGAUCGAGGACAGUGGCGGAUGAGUCGCCGUCGUCCUAGGCAGUCAGAUCGUCGUGAUUUGGUGGUGGCGGUUUGGCCUCGUCGUCCAUGGCGAAAUGGUUCGAAGGUUGUGUUUUUGGUUCUUUGAGGCCUUUUUCUCUUUUAUAAUUCCGGGUUGACCCGAACCCGACCGGGUCAGGGGUGGUUCGGGUUAUUUGGUAAUAUAAUUUUAUUAUAGAAAACUAAAGGACUGCUCCCCUGCGGCAUGUAACUUGAGGGACCAAAAGGGACGGAGUAAUUUUGACCGUUAGAUCUUAAAUGAAUAAAUCUGACGGAUCUAAUCCUGUCACCAUUUCAUCCCCAUUCUUUAUCAGUCUGCAGGAGAUCAUUUCUUCUCCUCCUCUCACCUCUCGCCUCUCUCACCUUUCUCCCAAAUCGUUGUUCGUCUUCUUUUCAUAUUUGAAAGUUUGUGGGAAGUUUGUAUAUGAGCCUAGGCUAAUAAGUUGAGGAAGGGUGAUGGGUUUUGGUGCUCUGUUUCUCUUCUGGGAAUGCGAAACGUUUAGGUUCUGAGUGGUAAUGGGUCUCUGUAAUUUUUGAGCUUUUGGGUUUAUGAUAGAAUGAAACUGACUUAAAAGAAAUAUAAUCAGAUUCUUGUUUGAGUUGUUUAUAUAUUCCUAUCGAAUUUCAUGAACUCAACUCAAGUGACUUAGUCAUCCGAUUCUUAUUUAUACUGCACGUUAUCAUGAAUGAAUGGUGAAAAUUGUAGACUUCACAUCAUUUAAAAAUUUGUGUGAUAUUUAGAGGAUAAAAUAACAAGAUGUUGAUACAUGCAUCAAUUUUCCUGUUGGGAGUCGUCUGUAAGUUACCUGAACAAGCUAGCUAGGACAUAAGGUGUGAUUACAAGAUGUUGAUACAGUAUACAGACGUCAAGUUUCUUGUGUUUGNNNNNNNNNNNNNNNNNNNNUGAAUGAUUAUAUAUAUAUAUAUAUAUAUAUAUAUAUAUAUAUAUAUAUAUAAAUAUAUUGGAAAACACUAUGUGUAUAUUAUUAGGAUUAAAAAUGAGAUGUUGGUGAAAACCGGUAUUAUUUUAAUUUGUAGUGGUUCCAAACUUUUGGUCUCAUUGGGUCGCACAGGUCCAUGUAGCUGAGAAUGUUCAUCUGGGGGUGUGCGCCGACUGUAAGCACGUUACUACCUUGCCUGAGAAUUGAAGUGUUUAGGAGGAAAACCAUUACUGGAAAAAACCGCUUAGAAGACGGAAUGGUUUCGUCUCUUAAGUAACAAAAUUCGUCUCUUAAGAACUUAGGAGACGGAAUGACCGUCAGCUAAGAUCCGUCGCCUAGGAGCGGUGAGGUAGGUGACGGGACGACGGAAAAUUGAGUUUUGUCGACUAAAAAUUACUUAGGCGACGGAAUGGAUUCCGUCUCCUAACUUAGGAGACGGAACUUAAAAUAUUUUAAAAAAUUCUUUUAAUUAAUUAAAUUUCAUUUUUAUUAUUUUCAUUUUUUUACUUUUUCUUUCUAUUUCUUUUCCUUUCAAUUUUUUUUUCCUGUCUGAAACCCACCACGUACCCAUUCCACCACCACCCCAAAUCUCACCACCCUUGCUAGUUGCUAACAUCACCAUCACCUCCGGCAAACAUCGAUGCCACCUCCGGUUUUCCUAAGCAAAACCCAUACCUCUAUCAAACCCUAAUCCAUCAAAUAUAAUCCCGAAAUACAAAUUUCAAUCACCCAAUACAAAUGUCAAUCACUAUUUAUAUAAUCAUGAUCACCCAAGCUCACCUCCAUUCUAGAUCUAAAAAAAAUUCAAAACCCAGUCUUGAGUCAAGUGUAGCAACUCCUUUCAACCUUGAGCACAAAAUUCGGCGAGGAGGAGGGCCGGUGGUCGAGGGUGGAGGAUAGAGAGGUCUGAAGGAGAUUAGGUUGUUGGUAGGAAAGGAUGGUGAAGAGAUGGUGAGCGACGUUGAGUGGUGGUGGAGGAGAGGCAGCGGAGGAGAGAGCAAAGUCGACGCCGGUCUAGGCUGUGGUGGUUUAGAUCUGAAAAAUUGAGUGGGAGAGAGAGUAGAGGGGAAGAUAAAAGAUUAAGAGUGUUUGAAGGAGGAGUAAAAGAAAGAUAGAGUUUGUGAGUUUAAAUAAAUUGGGAACUAAUUUAAUCAAAAAUUUUCAUUUGAAAUUUUCUCAAAUUUUGGCGGAAGGUUUGACCGCCAAAGUUUUUCUAACUUAGGAGAUGGAAUUGUCUCAAUUCGUAGCCUAAGUGAUUUAAAAAAAAUUAUUAAAAAAAAUUCCGUCUCCUAAGUAAAACAUUCCGUAUUCUAAGUUCCUCUUAGGCUACGGAAUGAAUUCCUUUGACUAAGUUUUUCAAUUUUUUCAAUUUUUUUUUAAAAAAAAAUCUGUCUCCUAAUUAAGUAGAACAUUCUGUCUCCUAAGAGGAACUUAGGCUACGGAACGCAAUUCCGUCGCCUAAGUGGUUACUUUUUUAUUUUUAUUUUUUAAAAAAUAAUUUUGUCUUUUAAGUAAAUGAUUUCGUCUGCUCCUAAGUAACACUUAUGAGACGAAAGACUUUUCCGUCGCCUAAGUGACCACUUAGGCUACGGAAAUGGGUUCCGUCUCUUAAGUGUGACUUAGGAGACGAAAUUGUUUUAAUUCCGUCACCUAAGUAGUUUUUUCAAAUAGUGAACCAUGUCCCAUAUCAAAACACUCUGGUCACUGGUAUCACCUUACUGCUCUCAAAGGAGUAUAUCUCUUCCAAAGAAUCACCUAUGGACCAGAUAGAUGCCAUUUUUUGUUGUUGUCCAAACGCAGCAAGCAAUGAUCCAUCUUCAGACAUUGCUAUGCGGCCUGCACUCCUUUUUGGGUACAAUGUUCUCACCCCUGAGAACGUGCGCCAUGUGAAACUAGUGUUUGGUGAGACUCAUAGUAGACAUCCUGCUCAGCUUGCUCCACAAAUGUUAUAGUUGCCUGAUAGAAAAAAAUUCUGUUAGAUCAUAGUAGACAUCCUGCUCACCACCAUGUCACGCCAUCCCCAGAAGAAGAGCCUGGAGGACUGUCGGUUCUUCAUGGCCGAUUCUUUGAGUUGCAUAAGGUGAGCCUAGCUUUUUGGCUUCCUCCAUUUUUGUUUUAGGACUCUUUCGACGUUCUCUUUUCUGCGUAUAGAUGAAGGCUUUAGUUUCUAUUCUACUUAUUUUCUCUGGCUUUGCGUUUUGCUGGCUUGUGUUGUGUAUUUAUGGGUUUUUCUGGGUCUGUGUUGUGUAUUUAUGGGUUUGUUGGGUUUAGAACAUCUAUGUUUCUCUUUUCUGCGUAUAGAUGAAGGCUUCAAUUUCUAUUCUACUUCUUUUCUCUGGUUUUGCAUUUUGCUGGCUUGUGUUGUGUAUUUAUGGUUUUGAUAGAGACUGAGCUUAUCCUCGUUUUUGAUUAGUUGAAGUAGUCCUCUAUUUAUUCAUCCGUGUAACAAACUUUUCAUCCUCUAUUUAAGUUUUUUUUAUGGUUUUGAUUAGUUGAAGUAACAAAUUCAUUUUGAAUGCUAAACUUUUGAAUUUCUACACGUAUUGACAACUCUAAGAAAUUUGCAGUUAACAAUAUCCCACAUUCAAUAACAAACUUAUUUAUCCACGUAACAAACUUCUCAUCAUCUAUUAAGUUUUUUUCUUAUUCUUUUUUUAUGAUUUUUAUUAGUUUAAGUAACAAAUACAGUUUGAAUACUAAGCUUUUGAAUUUCUACACAUAUUGACGAAUC
rnacentral:lncRNA from 1 species